AGAGUUUGAUCCUGGCUCAGAUUGAACGCUGGCGGCGUGCCUAACACAUGCAAGUCGAACGAAGUAGCAAUACUUAGUGGCAGACGGGUGAGUAACACGUAGUCAACCUACCUCUUUGUGGGGGAUAACUAGCCGAAAGGUUAGCUAAUACCGCAUACGAUCGUCGAGAGGCAUCUCUUGACGAUGAAAGGAGCAAUCCG
rnacentral:rRNA from 1 species